AGAACGAACGCUGGCGGCAUGCCUAAUACAUGCAAGUCGAACGAACUCUUCGGAGUUAGUGGCGCACGGGUGCGUAACGCGUGGGAAUCUGCCCUUGGGUUCGGAAUAACAGUUGGAAACGACUGCUAAUACCGGAUGAUAUCGAAAGAUCAAAGAUUUAUCGCCCAGGGAUGAGCCCGCGUAGGAUUAGCUAGUUGGUGAGGUAAAGGCUCACCAAGGCGACGAUCCUUAGCUGGUCUGAGAGGAUGAUCAGCCACACUGGGACUGAGACACGGCCCAGACUCCGUACGGGAGGCAGCAGUAGGGAAUAGUGGACAAGUGGGCGCGAAGCCUGACUCCGAGCAAUCGCCGCGUAGAGUGAUAGAAGGUCCGUUAGGGUUAGUAAAGUCUUACGUUUUACCCGAGUA
rnacentral:rRNA from 1 species